rnacentral:rRNA from 1 species
GAUGAACGCUGGCGGCGUGCCUAAUACAUGCAAGUCGAGCGAACAGAUAAGGAGCUUGCUCCUUUGACGUUAGCGGCGGACGGGUGAGUAACACGUGGGUAACCUACCUAUAAGACUGGGAUAACUUCGGGAAACCGGAGCUAAUACCGGAUAACAUUUGGAACCGCAUGGCUCUAAAGUGAAAGAUGGUUUUGCUAUCACUUAUAGAUGGACCCGCGCCGUAUUAGCUAGUUGGUAAGGUAACGGCUUACCAAGGCGACGAUACGUAGCCGACCUGAGAGGGUGAUCGGCCACACUGGAACUGAGACACGGUCCAGACUCCUACGGGAGGCAGCAGUAGGGAAUCUUCCGCAAUAGGCGAAAGCCUGACGGAGCAACGCCGCGUGAGUGAUGAAGGGUUUCGGCUCGUAAAACUCUGUUAUUAGGGAAGAACAAAUGUGUAAGUAACUGUGCACGUCUUGACGGUACCUAAUCAGAAAGCCACGGCUAACUACGUG